GAAUAUCACAAAUCAAACGGCACCUUGGAGAGCAGAAUUCUGGACGCAAGUUUUGGAGCAAUUCAAACUUUAAUUAGAGAAAUUCUCGCCAGUCCUUUGGGAGACGAUUUUGCUUACUGCUGUCUGCGCAGUGUGGGCAUACCGGCUGACUGCCGGAUAUAUUUGGUGUAAAACGACGCACCA